rnacentral:rRNA from 1 species
AGGACGAACGCUGGCGGCGUGCUUAACACAUGCAAGUCGAGCGGACAUCUUCGGAUGUUAGCGGCGAACGGGUGAGUAACACGUGGGCAACCUGCCCCUAGCUCUGGGAUAACUCCGGGAAACCGGGGCUAAUACCGGAUAUGACCGAUCCAUGCAUGUGGGUUGGUGGAAAGUUUUCGGCUAGGGAUGGGCCCGCGGCCUAUCAGCUUGUUGGUGGGGUGAUGGCCUACCAAGGCGACGACGGGUA